UUUGUUGGAUACAUUUUUGUUAGGCUUAAAUGGGCAAUUAACCCACAAGGAAGCAAAAUGUGAUCAUUCAAACAUGCAUGGACAUUUUACUACGUGUAAUGUUAUGGAGACUAUUUUUGUAAAUUAAAUGACAUGAAAAUUGAUAAUUGGAUUAUCUUAAACGUUAAUUAACGUGCUUAUUUCUUAUUGGCUACACGUUAUUUAGUUUGCAAAUUUAGUCUUUCUAGCUUACAUUUUUACUAAUUUUAGAAAAUUAUUUCAAAUCAGCUCAAGAGAAAAAAAAAAUUUUAGUCAAUAAUUUAAGAAAAAUUAUUUUUAGUUGGAAAAUUUUUGAAAAUGUGAGAGAAUUAUUAGUUUUGCGUUCAUCUUCAUGAUAAU
rnacentral:lncRNA from 1 species